rnacentral:misc_RNA from 1 species
AAGUCGUAACAAGGUUUCCGUAGGUGAACCUGCGGAAGGAUCAUUACUACCCUCGCUGUGCUGCGCACGCACGCAUGCACACGCGCAUUUAUCAACCAACCCUGUGAACGAUAAAUCCAAGGUCUUUUGGGAAGACCGCACUCGAGCCGCGCGCACACGCACGCACACACGUGUGGGUGUGGGUGGUUUGGGGGCACUUCCCGCUUUUACACGUAUUCGACCAUGAAGCAUUGUCAACCAAGGCGAUGUUACACACACGCGCACACACGCGCACACGCGCCGGAUGGUCUGCACUUUUAUCCAAAAGUGCGGGAGACGGAGUGUGGGUGUGGGUGUGUGAGAAAUGAGAUAAACAUGAAACAACUUUCAACGGCGGAUCUCUUGGCUCGU